rnacentral:rRNA from 1 species
GAUGAACGCUGGCGGCGUGCUUAACACAUGCAAGUCGAACGAGAAGUGAAGACGGAAACCUUCGGGUGGAAGGCUUUAUUUCGAGUGGCGGACGGGUGAGUAACGCGUGGGUAACCUGCCUCAUACAGGGGGAUAACAGUUGGAAACGACUGUUAAUACCGCAUAAGACCACAGCACCGCAUGGUGCGGGGGUAAAAACUCCGGUGGUAUGAGAUGGACCCGCGUUCGAUUAGCCAGUUGGCGGGGUAACGGCCCACCAAAGCGACGAUCGAUAGCCGAUCUGAGAGGAUGACCGGCCACAGUGGGACUGAGACACGGCCCAAACUCCUACGGGAGGCAGCAGUGGGGAAUAUUGCACAAUGGGGGAAACCCUGAUGCAGCGACGCCGCGUGAGUGAAGAAGUAUUUCGGUAUGUAAAGCUCUAUCAGCAGGGAAGAAAAUGACGGUACCUGAGUAAGAAGCCCCGGCUAACUACGUG